rnacentral:lncRNA from 1 species
UGCCCAGGUCUACUAGUGAACUAGUGCUUAAAAUACUAAACGAUCAGCAACAUGCUCCAGAGCCUACCUUGAAUGUGAAUGAUUCGUAUUAUUACAAUCAGUCUCCUGCAUUUCACUUUGAUACAAAGAAGCCUAUUGCAACAGAGGAACAAGAACUCAUGGCAAGGAAAUUAAAGAGUCUAAAAUAGGCCAUGGGAGAUUUACAAGGACUUGGUGGUUAUAAAAGUGUUUCCUAUAAAG